CCGCAUUCCUAGCCCGGGUGAAGAGGGAGGGGCCCUCACCCAGCCUUGUUCUGUGAGGGGCAGGUUGAAUGGGGAGCUUUGAAUCCUGCCCAACUGGCCCUCCUCCCCAGGCUCCUCCCUGGUGGGAAGCCUCCACCCUUUCUUUCCCAGGGGACCCGCCUUCUGCGCUGCCUGUGCUCAGUCCAGCAUGUUCUCAGCUCUGGCAGUGUCUUGGGAAGGGCGCCCUCCAGCUGCCCCCAGCUCCCCCUCACUCCCAGGGGCCGGACCCAUUUUCUUUACCCUGUGCACUGUAACAGACAUCCUCCAGCCAGCACCAGGGGGCCCUGGCGGGCCUCUCUGCCCCCUUCCCUCCCCAGGCUGCGUCCAAGAGUAGCUACAACCACCACCACCACUGAUCGAUCGGGUCCACAAGUAGCCACAGCUCAUCUGCACGGGCAGCUGGGCCGGCUUAAGCCCCGCCCUGAAGCUAGAAACGUGCUCGGUCUCCGCCCCUCCGGGACCUCAAUUGUGCAGGUGCCAAAAGUGAGGGAGGGGCCUCGUCCCACACGGCACCCACCGGGCCGCGGGCCGGAGGCAGCACCCGGUGGCGGUGGCGGGCGACCCCGACUGGACGCACCUCCGGCAAGCCCAGACCUGGAGAGGCCUGCAGCCGGCCCCGCAAGGAGAGGCGGCAAGCCUGGCCUGGAACGGCCCGGAACGGCGGGCCGCCAGGGGAGUCGGCCUGCUGGGGCAGCCCCCGGAGCCCUCAGAAAACAGGAAAUUCCAGCCCAGGGCUCCUCCUCGGAUUGGGGCAAGUAG
rnacentral:lncRNA from 1 species